UCGAGAAUCUUCGGCAAUGGGCGCAAGCCUGACCGAGCGACGCCGCGUGUGCGAUGAAGGCCUUCGGGUUGUAAAGCACUGUCAGGGGGGAUAAAUCAAUGAUAGAUCCCCAGAGGAAGCACGGGCUAAGUUCGUGCCAGCAGCCGCGGUAAGACGAACCGUGCUAACGUUGUUCGGAAUCACUGGGCUUAAAGGGCGCGUAGGCGGUCUACCAAGUCGGGGGUGAAAUCUUUCGGCUUAACCGGAAAAGGGCCUUCGAUACUGGUAGACUAGAGCGAGGUAGGGGCAGAUGGAACUUCCGGUGGAGCGGUGAAAUGUGUUGAUAUCGGAAGGAACGCCGGUGGCGAAAGCGAGCUGCUGGACCUCUUCUGACGCUGAGGCGCGAAAGCCAGGGGAGCAAACGG
rnacentral:rRNA from 1 species